UCCAAAGUGUUUUCUAGGACAGACAUAGAAAAUAUUCUUUAUAUUCUAUAUUUUUAUUCAACUACAAAGCACGAGAUAAUACAAAUAUCUACUAUGUAGUUAGGAUUCGUCUAACCAGAGUUGGUUGUUUUGAAUUGGUUGGCCCAUACAUACAGCUUCUAUUCCGCCCUUUAGUCUACAGUUCUUUCUUUUAGAAUGUUUCCCUCUCAUAUUUUUUUUUAUUUGCAAUAUCUUUGUCCCCAUUUCUCAUUAAUCAUAUAUUACAUAUUUAGAACACAACAAUCGAUAAAAUGUUGAAUUCUGAAACCGGAGAUUGGCCUGUUCUUGGGGGUAGGGGUUAAAAGAAGCAGAAGUUGGAAAGAUUCGAAAGGGCAGACGUCGGUAUUGGUGGAAUUGUCAAAGGGAGUAAAAAAUGGAAAAAUAUUUUAACUUUUGACUUGAAAGGAAAAAUGCUGAGAAAGGAGGAAGGGGGAGGUGGAGAAAAUGUUGAAGACUAUGGUGACCAUGGAGUAUAUGGUGGAGCUAGUGACGAUUGCCAGGAUUCAACCUCACAGAAAAGCAGAGUUUAAAAGUUUGAUGCAAACCAGAAAUAUAUUUUGAAUGAGGAAAGGAAAAAACUGAGAAAAGAGUCUUCGGUUUUUGAAUGAGAAAGGGGAAAUUCUGAGAAAGGUGGAAGGGCGAGGUGGAGACUGUGGUGACCAUGGAGAAGAUGGAGACGAUUGUUAGGGCACAACCUCUAUGAUAAACAGGAGAGAAUCCUUCGAUUUGAAACAGAAAAACUGAAGCUGGAGAGAGUUCAGCAAUACAUAAUGAAGAAAACCUAUCUUAAAGAGUACUCGGAAGUUGAGAGGAGAACAUUAAGAAAGCAGGCGAAGAGUUUUUAUGUAGACACAGAUGAUGUCCUCCAUUUUAAAGACAAAUCUUUAAAACGGAAAGUUAUUUUCACCCUGAGCGAGGCAAAAGAUGUUCUUUGGCUUUAUCAUUCAAAUUCGAUGGCAAGAGGACAUUCUGGCUUAAAUAAUACUAGAAUUAAAAUUUCUACCUUCUAUUACUGGAAGGGGAUUUCAAUGGACGUCACUGAGUAUGUUUAAUUAAUCGUUAAUGAAUUGUGCAACUGCAAUCACCUCCUCCCCCCUCUGUCUUCGGACUCAAAAAUUAAUUUGUUUAACAUUUUUUUAUUUGAUUAUCUAAUAAAACCCUUUAUGCAAGAUAUAUGGUGUAUUUUUCGACAUACGCAAAUCCGCUAUACUCCACUUCUGACCUACGCCAAAUCUGCUAAACUACACAUCCGACCUACUAGCACAUGGUUUUACAGCUGCCAUAUAAAUUUGUGGCCGCAGCGCUCUGCCUCUAGCAUGUCCUAGCCGCGGCGUUCGGCCCCCUAGCCUGUCCUAGCUGCAGC